ACUACGGGAGGCAGCAGUGAGGAAUAUUGGUCAAUGGGCGGAAGCCUGAACCAGCCAAGUAGCGUUCAGGAUGACGGCCCUACGGGUUGUAAACUGCUUUUAUACGGGAAUAACGCGCCUUACGUGUAGGGCUUUGCAUGUACCGUAUGAAUAAGGACCGGCUAAUUCCGUGCCAGCAGCCGCGGUAAUACGGAAGGUCCGGGCGUUAUCCGGAUUUAUUGGGUUUAAAGGGAGCGUAGGCCGCAUGUCAAGCGUGCUGUGAAAUGUCCGGGCUCAACCCGGGCCUUGCAGCGCGAACUGGCGUGCUUGAGUCCGCGGAAAGCAGGCGGAAUUCGUCGUGUAGCGGUGAAAUGCUUAGAUAUGACGAAGAACCCCGAUUGCGAAGGCAGCUUGCUGCAGCGGAACUGACGCUGAUGCUCGAAAGCGCGGGUAUCGAACAGGAUUAGAUACCCCGGUAGUC
rnacentral:rRNA from 1 species